UACGUAGGGGGCAAGCGUUGUCCGGAAUCAUUGGGCGUAAAGAGCGUGUAGGCGGCCCGGUAAGUCCGCUGUGAAAGUCGGGGGCUCAACCCUCGAAAGCCGGUGGAUACUGUCGGGCUAGAGUGCGGAAGAGGCGAGUGGAAUUCCUGGUGUAGCGGUGAAAUGCGCAGAUAUCAGGAGGAACACCGGUGGCGAAGGCGGGUCUCUGGGCCGGUACUGACGCUGAGACGCGAAAGCGUGGGGAGCGAACAGG
rnacentral:rRNA from 1 species